rnacentral:rRNA from 2 species
AAAUUGAAGAGUUUGAUCAUGGCUCAGAUUGAACGCUGGUGGCAGGCCUAACACAUGCAAGUCGAACGGUAACAGGAAGCAGCUUGCUGCUUUGCUGACGAGUGGCGGACGGGUGAGUAAUGUCUGGGAAACUGCCUGAUGGAGGGGGAUAACUACUGGAAACGGUGGCUAAUACCGCAUAA